AUGCAGCCGGUGCCAGUGCGGUCUGGGAAGGAGGAGGCCGCCCUGAACCCGGCGAGCUGCUCCUUGCGGAGUGCGCCGCCUCCCUCUGUCCUGCCUUCCUCCUUCCCUCCUUCCUUCUGUCCUUCCUGCCCUGCUUCCUCCUUUCCUUCAUUCCCUCUGUCCCUCUUCCUCCUUCCCUCCUUUCUCCAUCCCUUCUUCCCUCCUUUCCUCCUUCCUCCUCCCUUUCUUCCCUCCUUUCCUCCUUCCUCCUCCCCUCCAUCCCUCCUCCCUCUGUCCCUCCUUCCCCCCUUUCCUCCAUCCCUCCUUCCUUCUUCCCUCCAUCCCUCCUCCCUCCAUCCCUCCUUCCCCUGUCCCUCCUUUUCCCCUUCCUCCAUCCUUCUUCCCCCCUUUCCUCCUUUCCCCCUUCCUCCCUCCCUUAMUUCCCUCCUUCCCCCUUCCUCUGUCCAUCCCUCCUUCCCUCCGUCCCUCCUUCCCCCUUUCCUUCAUUCCCUCUGUCCCUCUUCCUUCCUUCCCUCUCUCCUCCAUCCCUCCUUCUCUCCUUCCCUCCAUCCCUUCUCCCUCUGUCCCUCCUUCCUCCCUCCUUCCUCCUUUUUCCUUCCCUCCUUCCCUCCCUCUCCUGCGGGAAGAGGAGGAGGCGGCUGCAGAUGGGCAGGAGCCGCGGAGGCCGAGAGCCGAGCGACAGGGCCGGGCAAUAAAGCACCGAAACUCCCCGGGUUUCGGCUGCAUUCGCAGAACAGGUUUGGCGGCCGCUUCGCCGGGGCCGCUGUGGGCGAGGGCCCCCGCGGGGCRGCCUGGAGCCCCAAACCCGCCCCAAAACCGGGGCCGGGAGACCGUGGAGCGACGUUGUGGCAGGGGUUUGGGUGGGUUUUGGAGCAGUGUAGGGUGCUGCAGCCCGGCCCGCGGCGAGGACGAGCCCGGCCCCGGGGUCGCUCCUGGCCCAGUCUCUGCCGGCUCAUCCUGCUCCGGUUACGUGGCCCCGAGCUGCUCCGUGGUGAUGGGGAGCUGACUCAGCCGUGA
rnacentral:lncRNA from 1 species